AAUCAGAAUCAGCCUUUUGACUGUUAUAAAAUUAGCGUCUUCUUGGCAUCCCCGUCUAUGACAAAGAGGAUGUCUUGCUCUUUUUUAUUCCUUGGUUCGGUCUACAAGGAAUUGGAUCUUGGCUUACAUUUUGGGGCAAUAAGAUGUCUAAAAUAUCUGGGCUAAUGGCCUUAUUCUUUGUGGUUUGAGCCACAUGAAUGCUUCACUUCCGUUAUCCAACCACUUCUUGCCAAUUGUCGAAAUCCCACAAGGCCACAACCCCUUCAAAAGUUUGGAGCACAAAAGUGGCUUGUAACAUCCCAACAGCAUCACAUUCCAAAGCUGCAAAAAUUUGCUCUUCUGUUCUGUUGCUGCAAUAUCUAGAGAAUGAACACUGCAAAAAGAGCUGCUCAGCUUCUCUCAACUCAGAACAGUUGGUGUGAUUUGGAAAGGAGACAAACUCGUUGAUGGGGUCUCUCGAACAAUGGACUUCCUUCGUUCUAAGGGAAAAAACACUUGUUUUUGUGAUAAAUAAUUCAUUAAAUUCAAGAAUGCAAUGGGCCAAGAAGUUCCAUUCACUUUGGAUUUCGGUUGAUGAGGCCUUUAUCACCUGUCAACCUCCACUGUCAUAUAGCAUAACACUAAUUUUUGAAAUUGAGUGGAGACUUCAUGUUAGAUCACAGCUCAGUGGUCUUUUUAAACACCUGUUAAUCAUCAUUCAAGUGCCUUCUACCUAUUGUCUCAAACAGUGAGGUUCCUUAAAAAUGGUGACAUAGUUUUUGCACCAUCUAUAAAAUCUUGAAGGCAGCGUCCUGUUGGAAGGAGGCUUACCUUUUCUCCUCGUAGAUGGUUCACUUACAACACUUUUGUCCUGUACAUUGUUCUAUCCAUUUCCAUUGCGGAUGUUCAUCUUCUUUUACAACAUGGAAGCAUUAGCUAUCUUGCCUUUGCUUUUACUUGUAUCUUACAUUUGGUCUUAAAGGGAGCGGACGUUUUCUACCAUGUUUUUUAUUUAACAAGAACAACAAUUUACCUUACGCUCUUGUUUUACACAAUAUUGUGGCACCAAUUUAGUGCAGGAAGAUGGUGAAAAGAGAAUAGGGCUGGAUCAAAUUCCCUCUAUGAACAUGAUAAGAGUGUAAAGUAGCAACUUGGCUGCAAUUUCUUCGAGCUUCACUUGUCUAUUUAGUUCUGUUUUCCUGUUUGAGGUUUGUAAUGGUGCAACUCCUGCCUCAGGUUGGUGCAGUUGUGGUUGGAAUAGAUCCGCGCUGCAACUGUUACAAGCUUCAGUAAGAGUUUCUAAAUCCUAUGUUACCUCUUCUACCGUGUUAAGUCUGCUGUAUUUUGAUUUGGUCAUGUUGUUAUGAGAUUUUGAGCAAGAUACUAUUUGAAAUCGAUUUUUUAAGGCAACAACAGAGCAUAAGUUCACUUGUCAGCUUCUCUAAGAUUCAAGGAUAAAAAGAUUUCCUGCCAAUUGAACACUAGCUGAGCGGCCAAGGCAUGGUUAGGUCUUAGUCAGAUAUUUCCUUUGUCAAUGCAAAAUCUGUCAUAUCGACAUUGAUCUGGAAUUUGAUUCCACAAGACAUCUCAUACCCGGGGCUGUAAUAUAAUAAUAAUAAUUAAGAGCUACAUGCUUCUAGUUUCAAGAUAAAUAUUGAAUUGACAGGUAUGGAACCUUAUGCAUGCGUGAGAAACCAGGUUGCAUUUUUAUUGCUACGAAUCGUGAUCCAGUGGGACGUAAGACUGAUUUAUAGGAGUGGCCUGGUGCAGGUUGUAUGGUUGCUGCCACAUGCGGUUCAACAGAGAGAGGGCCUAUUACAGUUGGAAAUGCUCAAGUCUCAAAAACACAACAAUUGGUCCCCAUUUCAUACUGACAUCAUCACUAACCUUUGACAACUUAUAUUCUCACAGGAGACUGUUUGUAGAUUAAAUGUUUACUGUCCUGUGUUUUGCAGCUUUCUCAUCGGCACCUCCAAAAUGUGCAUGGUGGGUGAUAAACAAGAUGCUGAUAUUUUUUUUGGACAAAAUGCUGGCUACAGAACUCUCCUUGUUCUUUCAGAUAGACUGAUUUCUCUUGUUUUUGAAUUCCCUCUUUCCCUGAAAUAGAAUGUUAACUCAAAGCACACGAUGCUGAAAAAUUUGCAGGUGUAACAACGAAAACUACUCUUCAAGAUCCAUCAAACAAUGUCCAGCCAGAUUAUUAUACAAGUAAGGUGUCUGACCUACCUGACUCACUGGUACCAUAAACCUCAUUACUUGCCUUUCGGUCAUUCUCGUAGGCCUGUUGACAGUGCUGGUAGUGGAUUCCUGUUAAAAAUCUCAGGGAUUGUUGGGCAUUUUUACAGGUAUUGUCUUACCUUCGAUGCCAUAAUUCUCAGAAUUUGAGAACAAUCAUAAUGGUAUCAUCUUUCUGCUUGAUUG